rnacentral:rRNA from 1 species
UGGGGAAUCUUGGACAAUGGGCGCAAGCCUGAUCCAGCCAUGCCGCGUGAGUGAUGAAGGCCCUAGGGUCGUAAAGCUCUUUCGCCUGUGAAGAUAAUGACGGUAGCAGGUAAAGAAACCCCGGCUAACUCCGUGCCAGCAGCCGCGGUAAUACGGAGGGGGUUAGCGUUGUUCGGAAUUACUGGGCGUAAAGCGCGCGUAGGCGGAUUAGUAAGUCAGAGGUGAAAUCCCGGGGCUCAACCCCGGAACUGCCUUUGAUACUGCUAGUCUUGAGUUCGAGAGAGGUAAGUGGAAUUCCGAGUGUAGAGGUGAAAUUCGUAGAUAUUCGGAGGAACACCAGUGGCGAAGGCGGCUCACUGGCUCGAUACUGACGCUGAGGUGCGAAAGUGUGGGGAGCAAACAGGAUUAGAUACCCUGGUAGUCCACACCGUAAACGAUGAAUGCCAGUCGUCGGGUAGCAUGCUAUUCGGUGACACACCUAACGGAUUAAGCAUUCCGCCU